UUCCUUUUCUGAGUGAAGCUUGCAUAAGCUCCAAUUUGUUGCUUCACUUAUGAUAAUUUAUCCUGUCAAAAACGUGGAAUAGUUUAAACCUCUAUUUCUUCAUCCAAUUUACUCUGUCUGAUGCAGCUAACAGAGUAUAUUUGUUCUCCAACCACAUACAACCUUCAUAAUAUAAAAGACUUCUAUGUCUAUAUCUCUAUGUAUCAAACACAUCAAU
rnacentral:lncRNA from 1 species